GAAUCAGCGUGUAUAGUUGCGGGCGCGAACGUGGUGGGCAAGAUAGUUGCGUGCUUACUGUGUGUGUGUGUGUGUGUGUGAAUCAGUCAGUCAGUCGACAACAGCAGUAGAUAUCCCGCGCGCAUUAGUCAGGUUAGAACAUGUGCGAAUUGCUAGCAGGAAGCUUGUUGUUCCACCAUCCGGCAGUUUAGCACAGCGUCAUUUCGUGCUUGCUCUUGUUAGUGUGAUGAUGUUACUGUGUUAACGCCGUUAUAUACACACACGCGCGUAUACCAACCAACCGAUGGAAUAAGAAAGUGUCGUGUGUAUAUUUAUCAUACUCUUGCGUCAGUUAUAAACCUGCUGUUUUCGAGGUUACAUGUUUAGAACAAGGUGAAGUGUCGUGUGUACCGAGUACCAAGAAGCCAUUGUCACGAUUGUGUGUGAGUGCGUGAAGGUGAAAGAGACAGCGAGAGCGAGACAGCUAGCAGGCGUGACGUGCUAGGCAGUCAACCAGUCAGUGUCAUAAGUACGUGCACAUACACGCGAGUUCUUCACUUUGCUGGUGUUUUGCUGGGCUACUCUGCUACAGACAAGUACUGAAGUUCAAGCGAAUGCACCCGAACAACUUGUGAUACUGAUACUGAGUGAUAGCUAUAGGAAAUUUUGACAGUCGAUCUGCUGUGAAGGAGUUGUUCUGAGCUAUGAUGACAUCAUCAGUCAUGUUACUCAGUAGAAGCAA